rnacentral:misc_RNA from 1 species
AGCAGCCGCGGUAAUUCCAGCUCCAAUAGCGUAUAUUAAAGUUGUUGCAGUUAAAAAGCUCGUAGUUGAAUUUCGGGGUUAGUAGGUUGGUCAUGCCUCUGGUAUGUACUGGUCUCACUGAUUCCUCCUUCCUGAUGAGCCGUAAUGCCAUUAAUUUGGUGUUGCGGGGAAUUUGGACUGUUACUUUGAAAAAUUAGAGUGUUUAAAGCAAGCUAACGCUUGAAUACAUUAGCAUGGAAUAAUGAAAUAGGACGUUCGAUCCUAUUUUGUUGGUUUCUAGGAUUUGACGUAAUGAUUAAUAGGGAUAGUUGGGGGCAGUUAGUAUUCAAUUGUCAGAGGUAAAAUUCUUGGAUUUAUUGAAAGACUAACUACUGACGAAAGCAAUUUUGCCAAGGAUGUUUUCAUUAAUCAAGAACGAAAGUUAGGGGAUACGAAGACGAUCAAGAUACCGUCGUAGUACUUAACCAUAAACUAUGCCGACUAGGGAUCGGAUGAUGUUAAAUUUUUAAUGUACUCAUUC